rnacentral:rRNA from 1 species
ACUCCUACGGGAGGCAGCAGUGGGGAAUUUUGGACAAUGGGGGAAACCCUGAUCCAGCCAUUCCGCGUGAGUGAAGAAGGCCUUCGGGUUGUAAAGCUCUUUCAGCUGGAACGAAACGGUACGCUCUAACAUAGCGUGCUAAUGACGGUACCGGCAGAAGAAGCACCGGCUAACUACGUGCCAGCAGCCGCGGUAAUACGUAGGGUGCGAGCGUUAAUCGGAAUUACUGGGCGUAAAGCGUGCGCAGGCGGAUUAUUAAGCAAGACGUGAAAGCCCCGGGCUUAACCUGGGAAUGGCGUUUUGAACUGGUAGUCUAGAGUGUGUCAGAGGGGGGUGGAAUUCCACGUGUAGCAGUGAAAUGCGUAGAUAUGUGGAGGAACACCAAUGGCGAAGGCAGCCCCCUGGGAUAACACUGACGCUCAUGUACGAAAGCGUGGGUAGCAA